CCAGACUCCUACGGGAGGCAGCAGUGGGGAAUAUUGGACAAUGGGGGGAACCCUGAUCCAGCGACGCCGCGUGAGUGAAGAAGUAUUUCGGUAUGUAAAGCUCUAUCAGCAGGGAAGAAGAAAUGACGGUACCUGACUAAGAAGCCCCGGCUAACUACGUGCCAGCAGCCGCGGUAAUACGUAGGGGGCAAGCGUUAUCCGGAUUUACUGGGUGUAAAGGGAGCGUAGACGGCAGUGCAAGUCUGAAGUGAAAGCCCCGGGCUUAACCCGGGAACUGCUUUGGAAACUGUACGGCUGGAGUGCUGGAGAGGUAAGCGGAAUUCCUAGUGUAGCGGUGAAAUGCGUAGAUAUUAGGAGGAACACCAGUGGCGAAGGCGGCUUACUGGACAGUAACUGACGUUGAGGCUCGAAAGCGUGGGGAGCAAACAGGAUUAGAUACCCCCGUA
rnacentral:rRNA from 1 species